rfam:Chlorella variabilis unplaced genomic scaffold CHLNCscaffold_35, whole genome shotgun sequence.
AAACUGGUGUUAUUCAACACCACCACCGCUCACUGGGAAUCAAUG